rnacentral:lncRNA from 1 species
GGUUUACACAUUGAUUGAACACUGUUCCCAGAACUGUUGGUGGCAUAGGGCCAACUGCUGUGAUAAUCAGCAAGGAGAUUCAUUCCAGUCGAGAAGUGUUAUAAACAUGAGGAUUCCUAAGGCACAGCAUUGAAAGGGAAUACUGAUGCUUUACUUGAGAUGGUGGAAAACUUUUUUGUGCCUUCAAGAAGAGGGAAAACUAACCAUCGAGAUGAAGCUGCCUUGCAGAAUAUAUAACCGGGAGAAUGAGCACUUAACAGGGGAGGGACAUUCCAGGCCUCGUUGUGCCCCCGCUGGAGUCGUCAAUGAUGAAUCAAAGAAGAGCUUAUGCUGUGUUUGCUGUUCUCAGUCCAGGAAUGCCAGAGUAAUUAUUUUGUAAUUAAAUACCUAAGAGUGUGUGAUAUGAAACUCCCUAUUAAAUUUAGAUUUUAAUAUGAAAUCUUUUUAAUUUGCUGCCACUUAAGAAGGAACACUAUUCAUUGGUGGUAUUCUGGGAAAAGUUACUGGGGAUAGGACCAAGUGAGCUAUUACCUCCAGGUAAAGUUAUCCAGCCAUUUAAAAAAAUAGAAGACGAUGAAGAUACAGACAGCAUCAUUCUCAGCUCCUGUGACCAGGAGCUAGAAAAGAACAUGACUUAUCUCCAAUUAGAAAUCAUCUGAUAUAUGAAAAUGGAGAGAAAGUUUGCUUACAACCUUACCUAUUAGUUGUUUUCAUUGUGCCCAUGAUAGUUUCCAUGUGACUAUGAUCUAUAAUUUAUGAUGAAAUUGGGGGGGGGUUGGUCAUACUGACAUCAAAUUUGAAUGCAAAAUAUUAUUUUCUCCAUGUGGGAUUUUUCCUGUGCAAUUUUCCCACCAAAUAUCAAUAUUGAGAGAUAUUUCCUUGAGUGGGAAAGUAGAAAAUUGAGUACAACAUAGUAAAUUUUGGAAGUCAAUCUAAUUCCACAUACAUUUAUUUAGGGUCUACUCAAUGCAAGGGCCAGUCAUAGAUGCAAGAGGAUAGAAGCAUGAAGCUAGAAUACCUGCCUCCAAGAACUUACAAUCUAGUUGGGGAAAUAAGAUGGAAAUGAAAAAGCAAUCUUUAUAACUUUAGACAUUGGCAGUUGUGAGUUUGUGUGUGUGUGUGUGUGUGUGUGUGUGUGUGUGUCAUUGCCAUGAUACAGCCAAAUAAUUUGUUCUUUCUAAUAGCUUCAUGAGCUGUACAUAGACCUCACAGAUCUUGUCAGCAAUCAUAAAAUCCUUCCCUUUAAUGGACAAAUGAUUAUCUGAAUGUUGCCUUGAAACAACAGAACAUGUCAAAUAAGUCUACAUUCUUACUCAGACUAUGUUUACCUGUCCAAUGUACCAUUUUAUUUUUUUUUAAUAUGUAUGGAUAGUUUUGGUUACAUGACUUUCUUUUCUGAACAUAUCAAUCCUUCCUCCCUUACCCGAUGAAAUAUCCACUGAAACAAAAAAAUAAAAUAAAAAGAAAGAGGGAGGAAAAAUACUUC